CCUGCGCACCGCUCCAUCGCUCACUCUUUGCAGAAGGGUGGGAGGAAAGUCCGGGCAGCAAAGGGCACCGUGCUUCCUAACGGGAAGGGGUGUGGCCGGCGACGGCCGCAUCACGGAAAGUGCAACAGAGAGCAUACCGCCGAUGGCCGCAAGGCACAGGCAAGGGUGAAAGGGUGGUGUAAGAGACCACCGCGCGGGCAGUGAUGUCCGCGGCACGGCAAACCCCACGGGCUGAAAGACCAAAUAGGCCGGCCCACGUGUCCCGAAAGGGGCAGCGUGGAAGGGUGGCCCGCUCCAAGCCGGCGGGUAGGUCGAUAGAGGUGCUCCGCGAGGGGCAUCCCAGAUAAAUGAUGGGGACUCCGCCCCGGAUGCGAGUCCGGGGAGGGGAACAGAACCCGGCUUACAGGUGCGCAGGUACU
rnacentral:RNase_P_RNA from 1 species